rnacentral:rRNA from 1 species
GAUGAACGCUGGCUACAGGCUUAACACAUGCAAGUCGAGGGGAAACGACGGGGAAGCUUGCUUCCCCGGGCGUCGACCGGCGCACGGGUGAGUAACGCGUAUCCAACCUGCCUCUGACUGAGGGAUAACCCGUCGAAAGUCGGCCUAAUACCUCAUGGCAUCGUCUGCGGGCAUCCAACGACGAUUAAAGAUUUCAUCGGUCAGGGAUGGGUAUGCGUCUGAUUAGCUUGUUGGCGGGGUAACGGCCCACCAAGGCUACGAUCAGUAGGGGUUCUGAGAGGAAGGCCCCCCAAAUUGGAACUGGGACCAGGUCCAAACCCCUGGGGGGGGCAGCAGUGGGGAAUAUUGGCCAAUGGGCGGGAGCCUGACCCAGCCAGGUAGGGUGCAGGAUGCCGGCCCUUUGGGUUUUAAACUGCUUUUAUGGGGGGAUAAAGUGGGGGACGUGUCCUUCAUUGCAGGUCCCGCAUAAAAAAGGACCGGCUAAUUCCGU